UACGUAGGGUGCGAGCGUUAAUCGGAAUUACUGGGCGUAAAGCGUGCGCAGGCGGUUUUGUAAGUCUGUCGUGAAAUCCCCGGGCUCAACCUGGGAAUUGCGAUGGAGACUGCAAGGCUGGAGUCUGGCAGAGGGGGGUAGAAUUCCACGUGUAGCAGUGAAAUGCGUAGAGAUGUGGAGGAACACCGAUGGCGAAGGCAGCCCCCUGGGUCAAGACUGACGCUCAUGCACGAAAGCGUGGGGAGCAAACAGG
rnacentral:rRNA from 1 species